UACCCGGAAGUUUUUGUACGCUAUCACGUGACUGGAAGUAUAUUAUAUUCGGCGACUGGUUUCACUUUUGACAGAUGGCUAACAAAGCUCUCCAAUUUGCCCCCUUCAGCAGUUUUCUCGAUGCAGGAUUUUGGCACAAACUGUCAGAUAACAAGUUAAAUAUUUAUGGACUCGACGAAUCACCGAAACCUAUACAUGGAUUUUAUUUCAAUGGUGAUCCUGUUGGUGUACCAUGCCGUAUGAAUGUGGAGUAUACUGCCUUUGACGAAAUUUCCAAAACCCCAACCAGAUGUUUCAAGACUGUAGGAACACUGCACAAUACAAAUACAAUUGACAGUUUCAAAGAAUGUGACAAAAAAAGUCUCCUGGAGCAAUCAGGCAAACAGAUAUGGGAAGACAUUGUCAGUGGGAAGGCCGUGGAAGAUCCGACCCUGUUGUCACGAUUUCUACUCCUUACAUAUGCAGACCUGAAAAAAUACGUCUAUUACUACUGGUUUGCAUUUCCAUGUCUUUGUCCACCACUUGACAUUUCCAUGGUAACGACACCAGUGACCUUGGAUAAAGCAUUUUCUGCAGAACAGAUCAAACUCCUGGAAUCUUCUUAUGAUAGGUUUCAGUCAUCAUGUUCCUCAUUUGUCGGUUACUUCCUUAUUACCAUGGAUACAGAGGUCCAAGUUCAAGAGGUCAAAUGUAUGGAUAAACAUUUAGCUGAUUCCAAAAAGGUGACAUUUGGUUUUGCUGACCCAUGUACAUUGGACGGCCAUCCGGGCUGGCCUCUCAGGAAUUACCUAGCUCUUAUUGCCCAAAAAUGGGGAGAUAACCUCAGUGAAAUCCAGGUGUUAUGUUUCCGAGAUCGCAGUAAAGAUGGAGUUAGAAACAUAACCAGCAGUCUCGUAUUUACCGUGAAGUUUACAUCCAUGAAAGAAUUGACAGAAUGUCCUAAAUGUGUGGGAUGGGAGAAAAACGAACGACAAAAGCUAGGACCUAGGAUCGUCAAUCUAAGCUCCAGCAUGGACCCAUCUAAGCUUGCAGCAUCAGCAGUAGACCUCAAUCUGAAGUUGAUGAGGUGGAGACUCCUGCCAGAACUUGACCUUGACCAAAUCUCAAAGACAAAAUGUCUACUACUUGGGGCUGGAACUCUGGGGUGCAAUGUUGCAAGAUGUCUGUUGGGAUGGGGAGUAAGGAAGAUAACUCUGGUCGACAAUGGUACGGUGUCCUACUCCAAUCCUGUGAGACAGAGCCUGUUUGUGUUUGAAGACUGUAUGCAGGGGGGCAGGCCGAAGGCUGAGGCAGCAGCUCUGUCUUUACAGAAAAUAUUCCCAGGAGUUGAUGCUCAGGGAAUUUCUAUGUCGAUUCCGAUGCCAGGCCAUCCUGUUUCAGGAGGGGCCUUAGAAGGCACUAAGAAGGAUGUCCAACAACUGGAAGAUCUAAUAAAAUCUCAUGAUGCAGUGUUCCUCCUCCUGGAUACCAGAGAGAGUCGUUGGUUACCAACUGUCAUGGCUGCUGCUCAUAAGAAGAUAGUGAUUUGUGCGGCUCUGGGUUUUGACACAUUCCUGGUAAUGAGACACGGCCUGAAAUCUGACACGGAGGGCAACACUCCCUCUGAGGUAGAGCCACUCUCUAGUUACAUGAUCAUUCCCGGAGACAAACUUGGAUGCUACUUCUGUAAUGAUGUUGUCGCUCCAGGAAAUUCAACAAGGGACCGAACUCUGGAUCAGCAGUGUACUGUGUCUCGUCCAGGGAUGAGUUACUUAGCCAGUGCAUUGGCUGUGGAGCUGCUUGUCUCACUAGUACAGCAUCCCCUGGGUGGGAAAGCUGAAGCAGACACGAGUGCUAAAGAUGAACAUCUCACCAAAGAUCUGUCGUGUUCUCUGGGAUUAGUACCUCACCAGAUCCGUUGUUUCCUGUCUAGGUAUAAUCAGCUACUACCAGCAUGUAGAGCGUUUGACAAAUGUAGCGCCUGCUCCAAUACGGUUGUGAAUGCUUACAAGAAGGAUGGUAUAGAAUUUCUGCUCCGGGUAUUUAAUGAGCCGAGCAGUUACCUAGAGGACAUCACUGGUCUCACACAGAUGCACCAGGAAACCCUCGACACAGAGAUUCUGGAUUUCAGUGAUGACGAUGACAGUUUUAUGGACAUGUCAUGACAAAAGCCAUUCAUCAACAGAAGAUAAUUAUCCAAUCUAUACUCUAGAGAGGUACAAAAUCAGAUGGGACUCUAGGAUCAAUCGUUAGGUGUUUUAUACAACAUCAGAUGGUAGGACCAAUCAGUAGAGCUGUUUUAUACAACAUCAGAUGGGAAGACCAAUCAGUAGAGCUGUUUUAUACAACAUCAGAUUGGAAGACCAAUCAGUAGAGGUGUUUUAUACAACAUCAGAUGGGAGGACCAAUCAAUAGAGGUGUUUUAUACAACAUCAGAUAGGAGGGCCAAUCAGUAGAGGUGUUUUAUACAACGUCAGAUUGGAGGGCCAAUCAUUAGAGGUGUUUUAUACAACGUCAGAUUGGAGGACCAAUCAAUAGAGGUGUUUUAUACAACGUCAGAUGGGAAGACCAUUCAAUAGAGGUGUUUUAUACAACAUCAGAUGGGAGGCCAAUCCUUUGAGGUGUUUUAUACAACAUCAGAUGGGAGGACCAUUCAAUAGAGGUGUUUUAUACAACAUCAGAUUGGACGACCAAUCAAUAGAGGUGUUUUAUACAACAUCAAUGGGGAGAACCAAUCAACAGGGAUGUUUUAUCAGACUGUUGGGACAUUGAAGAUGUAACUCUGGUGGACCAAAUGUGGCUCCAAUAUUGUGAUAUUGAUUGUGACAUUACCUAUAGCUAUACUAUUUUAAUUUUUAAAUUCAAGUCAGGUUGAGCACAUAUCAUUACAAGCAACACAACUGUUUUGUCUAAUGUAUUGACUUCAAGAUUAUCAAUCCAGAUUUGCAUAAAUCUUCAGGUUCAGAAGUAUAUAAAGAUACCAAAUCCAUAGAUAUACCGUGCUGAAUAACAGCUGAAUACUAUAAUGUCAGUUCUAAUGUUAGGUUACUGUGAAAGUGGAAAAUAGCUUCAAUUUAUCAGUGUGAAACUGUCUAGUGUUUGCAGCAAUAUCUUUAUUAGUUUGUCAGUGUUCACCUGUAUGCCUAUUUAUGAUUUAACAAAAAAAAAAACUUUUCAAAAAUUUGAUAAGUCAUACCAGUGUUGUGAAAACUAUUAGCAAAUAUCUACUUGAUAGGGAUGGUAGGUGAUGCUUUGAUGUAAAUGUCUUACAAAUCUUUGUCAAAUUGUCUACUCUUAUACCUCACUAAAGUCUGGAAACUGUCGUUGUGCUAUAUAAUAAAAAUUGUCAUUUGA
rnacentral:misc_RNA from 1 species